CCUACGGGUGGCUGCAGUGAGGAAUAUUGGUCAAUGGGCGCAAGCCUGAACCAGCCAUCCCGCGUGAAGGAAGAAUGCGCUAUGCGUUGUAAACUUCUUUUCCAGGGGAAUAAAAUUCUUUACGCGUACGGGAUUGAAGGUACCCUGGGAAUAAGCAUCGGCUAACUCCGUGCCAGCAGCCGCGGUAAUACGGAGGAUGCGAGCGUUAUCCGGAUUUAUUGGGUUUAAAGGGUGUGUAGGCGGAUGUGGAGAAAACCGUCAGCUUAACUGGAGACUUGCCAUUGAUACUGUUAGUCUUGAGUGUGGUUAAGGUAGGCGGAAUGUGUAAUGUAGCGGUGAAAUGCUUAGAUAGUACACAGAACACCGAUUGCGAAGGCAGCUUACUGAGCCAUAACUGACGCUGAUGCACGAAAGCGUGGGGAGCGAACAGGAUUAGAUACCCCAGUAGUC
rnacentral:rRNA from 1 species